rnacentral:rRNA from 2 species
UGCAGUCGAACGAUGAUGCCCAGCUUGCUGGGUGGAUUAGUGGCGAACGGGUGAGUAACACGUGAGUAACCUGCCCCUGACUCUGGGAUAAGCGUUGGAAACGACGUCUAAUACUGGAUAUGAUCACUGGCCGCAUGGUCUGGUGGUGGAAAGAUUUUUUGGUUGGGGAUGGACUCGCGGCCUAUCAGCUUGUUGGUGAGGUAAUGGCUCACCAAGGCGACGACGGGUAGCCGGCCUGAGAGGGUGACCGGCCACACUGGGACUGAGACACGGCCCAGACUCCUACGGGAGGCAGCAGUGGGGAAUAUUGCACAAUGGGCGAAAGCCUGAUGCAGCAACGCCGCGUGAGGGAUGACGGCCUUCGGGUUGUAAACCUCUUUUAGUAGGGAAGAAGCGAAAGUGACGGUACCUGCAGAAAAAGCACCGGCUAACUACGUGCCAGCAGCCGCGGUAAUACGUAGGGUGCAAGCGUUGUCCGGAAUUAUUGGGCGUAAAGAGCUCGUAGGCGGUUUGUCGCGUCUGCUGUGAAAUCCCGAGGCUCAACCUCGGGCUUGCAGUGGGUACGGGCAGACUAGAGUGCGGUAGGGGAGAUUGGAAUUCCUGGUGUAGCGGUGGAAUGCGCAGAUAUCAGGAGGAACACCGAUGGCGAAGGCAGAUCUCUGGGCCGUAACUGACGCUGAGGAGCGAAAGCAUGGGGAGCGAACAGGAUUAGAUACCCUGGUAGUCCAUGCCGUAAACGUUGGGCGCUAGAUGUAGGGACCUUUCCACGGUUUCUGUGUCGUAGCUAACGCAUUAAGCGCCCCGCCUGGGGAGUACGGCCGCAAGGCUAAAACUCAAAGGAAUUGACGGGGGCCCGCACAAGCGGCGGAGCAUGCGGAUUAAUUCGAUGCAACGCGAAGAACCUUACCAAGGCUUGACAUACACCGGAAACGGCCAGAGAUGGUCGCCCCCUUGUGGUCGGUGUACAGGUGGUGCAUGGUUGUCGUCAGCUCGUGUCGUGAGAUGUUGGGUUAAGUCCCGCAACGAGCGCAACCCUCGUUCUAUGUUGCCAGCGGGUUAUGCCGGGGACUCAUAGGAGACUGCCGGGGUCAACUCGGAGGAAGGUGGGGAUGACGUCAAAUCAUCAUGCCCCUUAUGUCUUGGGCUUCACGCAUGCUACAAUGGCCGGUACAAAGGGCUGCGAUACCGUAAGGUGGAGCGAAUCCCAAAAAGCCGGUCUCAGUUCGGAUUGAGGUCUGCAACUCGACCUCAUGAAGUCGGAGUCGCUAGUAAUCGCAGAUCAGCAACGCUGCGGUGAAUACGUUCCCGGGCCUUGUACACACCGCCCGUCAAGUCAUGAAAGUCGGUAACACCCGAAGCCGGUGGCCUAACCCUUGUGGAAGGAGCCGUCGAAGGUGGGAUCGGUGAUUAGGACUAAGU